UUUGUACCGGUGAUGCAGAAAUCCAAAAUUAAUCAUUGUUACACCACUAGGCUAAUUCCUGCAUUAAAUUCAGAUUAGUGAAUGAAUGCACCUCUCGCCCACUGGAUCAAUGGCGAGAAUGGGGCACUUCCAAUGCAAGUAGGUGAUGCCUCAGUCAGCAAAAGAGGGUUUAUCCCUUAACGGGCUGAAGCCUAUGUGUGGAGAACACUGAAUCACAAGCAGCUGCUCGAUUCAAUUAGUUCCACACAAAUUAUCUUUAAAUAGCAUUGAUUAAAGAAAAGGAGGAAUGGAUGUGAAAAUAUUAUAUUAUGAAUAAACUAAUCUAGCUAUUCAUAUCUUGUAGAUGCAAAUCCUCUCCCAUGUAUGCACCUUCCUGUAAUCCGUAAGCCAUUGGCAGCAAAGACUGCAGAUGCUGGUGUCCAGGUAGAAACAUGCCGAUGUGGAUGGGAAAAGGUACAACAGUGGGACACGUCUGAGUGGAAACCCAAGGUGCAGAGUCAAGAGCCGGCACAUUUGAUUGAACACUGUUAAGCUGGAUGUGAGAAAUGAAGUACUGGACACCAGCCAUUUGAAGCAUUUGUACGUCAAUUAAGAGGUUCUUUCUGGAAGUUUAAUAAUCGAUUGUUAAUUGAUGUUGGAACCCUGGAUCUUUCUCAACUAAUGAAGAUGGAGUAAGAUGAUGAUGAGACGUUUAUCUUGGAAUCCACACUUCAACUUUCUAUGUCUGGCAAUGAUAUCUGAAAAACUAGAGGGAAUAAGAAAUGGCUGCCUCCUCAACAUGUAG